GGAAGAUGGAGAGAAACUAAUGUGUUGAUAAGCCUCUGACUCAAACAACGCGGUGCUUCUGGCAAAGUGACCAGCUGACAACCUAGAAGGAAAGUAACUUCUAGUGCCAGCUCUCUGCAAGGUGGUACUGCACUACGAAUAACCUGGUAGCUCCCAGCAGGGAUGUGAGAGGCAUCGGACCUCACAGAGGGCAGGGCUGAAGCCCCACUCCCUUAAAAUUGUUUUCUUCUCUCUUCCAAAAUACUUUCUGCAUGCUCCAACCAACUCUGCGUUUGAAAGAGAAACUGAACGUAGGUGCUGUGCUGCCCCAGCACAGGAUGUGUGCAAUGCUUCUGGAGCUGCACCAACACCACAGUAAGAAGGGAGCAGGUAAUGGG
rnacentral:lncRNA from 1 species